UACGUAGGGGGCAAGCGUUGUCCGGAAUUAUUGGGCGUAAAGAGCUCGUAGGCGGUUUGUCGCGUCUGCUGUGAAAACCCAAGGCUCAACCUCGGGCCUGCAGUGGGUACGGGCAGACUAGAGUGCGGUAGGGGAGAUUGGAAUUCCUGGUGUAGCGGUGGAAUGCGCAGAUAUCAGGAGGAACACCGAUGGCGAAGGCAGAUCUCUGGGCCGUAACUGACGCUGAGGAGCGAAAGCAUGGGGAGCGAACAGG
rnacentral:rRNA from 1 species